rnacentral:rRNA from 1 species
ACGGAGGGCGCGAGCGGUAAUCGGAAUCACUGGGCGUAAAGCGCGCGUAGGCGGCUUUUUAAGUCGGGCGUGAAAGCCCUCGGCUCAACCGGGGAACUGCGUUCGAAACUGGAAGGCUUGAGUCCUGGAGAGGGUGGCGGAAUUCCGGGUGUAGGAGUGAAAUCCGUAGAUAUCCGGAGGAACACCGGUGGCGAAGGCGGCCACCUGGACAGGUACUGACGCUGAGGCGCGAAAGCGUGGGGAGCAAACAG